UCUAACACAUGCAGUCGAGCGAUGAAACCCUGCUUGCGCGGUGGAUUAGUGGCGAACGGGUGAGUAACACGUGAGUAACCUGCCCCCGACUCUGGGAUAAGCCCGGGAAACUGGGUCUAAUACCGGAUAUGACUUCCUACUGCAUGGUGGGUUGUUGAAAGAUUUAUCGGUGGGGGAUGGACUCGCGGCCUAUCACCUUGUUGGUGAGGUAAUGGCUCACCAAGGCGACUACGGGUAGCCGGCCUGAAAGGGUGACCGGCCACACUGGGACUGAAACACGGCCCAGACUCCUACGGGAGGCAGCAGUGGGGAAUAUUGCACAAUGGGCGGAAGCCUGAUGCAGCGACGCCGCGUGAGGGAUGACGGCCUUCGGGUUGUAAACCUCUUUCAGUACGGAAUUGCGAAAGUGACGGUACCUGCAGAAGAAGCGCCGGCUAACUACGUGCCACCACCCGCGGUAAUACGUAGGGCGCAAGCGUUAUCCGGAUUUAUUGGGCGUAAAGAGCUCGUAGGCGGUUUGUCGCGUCUGCCGUGAAACCCGAGGCUCAACCUCGGAUCUGCGGUGGGUACGGGCAGACUACACUGAUGUAGGGGAUACUGGAAUUCCUGGUGUAGCGGUGAAAUGCGACAGAUAUCAUGAGGAACACCGAUGGCGAAGGCAGGUCUCUGGGCAUUUACUGACGCUGAAGAGCGAA
rnacentral:rRNA from 1 species